rnacentral:rRNA from 1 species
GGAAUUUUCCGCAAUGGGCGAAAGCCUGACGGAGCAACGCCGCGUGAGGGAUGAAGGCCUCUGGGCUGUAAACCUCUUUUAUCAAGGAAGAAGAUCUGACGGUACUCGAUGAAUAAGCCACGGCUAAUUCCGUGCCAGCAGCCGCGGUAAUACGGGAGUGGCAAGCGUUAUCCGGAAUUAUUGGGCGUAAAGCGUCCGCAGGCGGUCUGUCAAGUCUGCUGUUAAAGCGUGGAGCUUAACUCCAUUUCGGCAGUGGAAACUGACAGACUAGAGUGUGGUAGGGGCAGAGGGAAUUCCCGGUGUAGCGGUGAAAUGCGUAGAUAUCGGGAAGAACACCAGUGGCGAAGGCGCUCUGCUGGGCCAUAACUGACGCUCAUGGACGAAAGCCAGGGGAGCGAAAGGGAUUAGAUACCCCAGUAGUC